rnacentral:ncRNA from 2 species
CUCUUAUCAAGAGUAGGUGGAGGGACUAGCCCGAUGAAACCCGGCAACCGGCUUAACCAUCGCUUCGGCGGCGGCGGCACGGUGCUAAAUCUUGCAGAAGCGCAAGCUUCUGACAGAUGAGAG